GGGGCCAGGGGUGCAGCCAGUGCCCAGGAGUUGUGUCCCUGCAGGUGUGGGAUGCCCUGGAUCAGUGGGAUGUGAGCUCUGGCCUCAGGUGUCCCUGCAGGUGUGGCAAGGCUGUGAUGGACCUGGGAGUCCUGUCCCUGCCAGGUGCUGCCUGUGGCCCUGGACAGCUCAUUCCAUCUCUGCUCCAUGCUUUCCCCAUGGCACAAUUACCAACAAUCUCCCAGUGCUCAGUGUUGGGGAGCAGACUGCUGGGAGAAGGCUGAAAUCUCUGAAUGAGGCAGAGGAUGAGGGAAUGUCCUUCACCAUUAUUUCUCCAGGCAGGGAAACAUUCCCAGUCACCACAUCUUCACCCAUGCCAGCACAUUGUCCCAUUAUCCCCCUAGCUGUGGGUGCCUCUGCCCUCAGGUGCUGGGAUCUGUCCUGGCCUUGUUCCCAGUCCCUGGUUUGGAUGUUCCCCCCCUCCCUGCCCCUGUGUCUCAGAGCUGAGCAGCCCCAGGCACAUUCUGGAGUCUGGAACACCGAGGGGGAAAUUCCUGCACCUGCUCCACAAUGGAAGAUGAAAGAGCAGCAUCUCAGUUAAUUCCGUAAUGGUUGGUUGGGGUGAUGAGAAGCAGAGUAAUUAAUUAACUCCUACCAGUGGGAGCUCAGUUGCAGCUGUCCCAGUUGGACUGGUAAAAGCUGGGAAUGCUGCUGGUCCUGCUUCCAUUGCCUCCCUGACUCUGCAGGAGGGAAGGCUCAUCCUGCCAGCCUGGGGCUCGUGUCCUGUGUCCUGAAAAGCUGUUUAAAUGGGAUUUAUUUCCACCUGGGGCCCACGACACAUGGAAUUAACUCCUGCCCAGGACAAAUCCUGAGUCCCUGCAGACCCCCUGAGACUGCAGAGGGAAGCAGGAUCCGGUGUGGGGAGGGAAGGGGCCGGUGCCAGAGGUUGUUAGGAGGGAAUGAGGGGGGUCAGAGCCCAGCCGGGCACCCCUGGGUGCCAACAGGACUGUCCCACCCUGCUGCCCUGGCAAAGCCCGGCUGGUGAUGCAGGAGAAGGAGUCAGAGCCUCCCCCCUGGGAUUUGCUCCAGCUGCAGCACAGCACGCAGCUCCCCCCACCAUCCAUCCCUGCUCAGCCCAGCAGCAGAAAUGCAGAGCUGGGUGCCCAGAGAUGAGGUUUUGUCGCUGUUAAUUGUUUUAUCCGACUGCAUCACCAGCAGAUCCUGCUCUGAUGCACCCCAAAAGCUGCGGGGCCGAUGGAUUGCUGCUCCUCCCUGACACCCCCGCUCCUGGAGCCUUUCGUGCAUCCCUGCAGCUCCACUGCCACGGGGGGGGCUCAGAAAGGCCUCCCAGCAGCA